UCUGGCUCAGAACGAACGCUGGCGGCGUGGAUAAGACAUGCAAGUCGAACGCUGAUUAUAGGGUAGCAAUAUUCUGUAGUCGGAGUGGCGAAAGGGUGCGUAACACGUGGGUAAUUUGCCGUGAAGUUGGGGAUAACUCGCUGAAAGGCGAGCUAAUACCGAAUGUGGCCUAACAAGGCUAAAGUUGGGGACCGUAAGGCCUGACGCUUCAUGAUAAGCCCGCGGCCUAUCAGCUAGUUGGUGAGGUAACGGCUCACCAAGGCUAAGACGGGUAGCUGGUCUGAGAGGACGACCAGCCUCACUGGAACUGAGACACGGUCCAGACACCUACGGGUGGCAGCAGUCGAGAAUUUUUCUCAAUGGGGGGAAACCCUGAAGGAGCGACGCCGCGUGGGGGAUGAAUGGCUUCGGCCCGUAAACCCCUGUCAUUUGCGAACAAACCUUUCGGUUUAAUAGACCGAAAGCUGAUAGUAGCGAAAAGAGGAAGGGACGGCUAACUCUGUGCCAGCAGCCGCGGUAAUACAGAGGU
rnacentral:rRNA from 1 species